UAUCAUUACUCUAUCUGCUUAGCCUUUCCAACUUUUAAGAUUUGAUCAAUUCUUUAGAAGUUCGUACAGAUCUAGAAGUAUUUGGUUUUGUUGGUCAAAUCCAUUGCUUGUCUGUCCUUAUUUAUUUUAUUGUUCGAACACGAUAUCAGAUCAUCUACAUUCAUUAUUCUUGAUUACAGUCUCAUACUAAAGUAGUCUAAGAUGGUCUGAACAGUUGUAGUAAUUCAUAAAUAUUUUCAGUGUAGUUCUUAUUUGGUUUCUAGGCAUAGAAUUUACUUCAGGAUUUUGAUCUUUAUUUGGUUAGUAAGGCUCUAGAAUAAAACAGACCAAUGAUAUAUAUACAAACAAACACAAUAGGAGUUAACUGGUACCUAGCUUUUGAAACCUCUGAUAUAUACAAAAUAUUAUUUGAGUAGAACAGGAGAGAUGCAAUCUUAUGGAUAUUUGUGCAUUUGUAAGAAACUUUCCAGCUUGGCAAGAGGGCUUAACUAGCCAUGUGUAGGACUCAGCCAUGCUGCCUUCCAAAUGAUUAGUCAUUGGUGUUUUCUUAUGUUCCUGUUAGUCCAAGUGCAUCAGAUAAGUAGACUGUUAUGUUGAAAAAAGGAAAGAGACUACUCUUUUGUUACUUACAGUACAGAUAUAUGCUAUAAUAUAUUACCUUUAUGCUCUCGAUUUCAGUAUACGCCUGCGAACAAGUAAGUCAGUAAUAUCAAUGCCUAAGAAUUACUUUGUUUGCCAUUUUAAUCGUUACAUCAGAGAGCAACGGAUAUAGAAGAAAUAUGUAAACAGUUGUCCCUAGAAGAAAUAUGCAACAACUUAUUCAGUAGAGAGCAAGGGACAUAUAAGAAAUCUCCAGGCAGCUUCGCUUAGAUGCAUCAUCUUCUGCUAGGACCUAGGAGUCAGCUUGAAGAACGACCUUCUCAGGAGACUGCAACUGACAUGCUGGAUGGUGAAUAACCAAAUUUGUGGACAAAGACAAAGAGUUCAUCGCAAGGGGUGGUGUUUAGGAUAUAUAUACACAAAAUAGGAAACUUUCUUUUGUACAGAACCAAAUUAUAUGAUGUAAUUGACCACUAUUUCUAAGAAAUGUUCAUCGUGUAUUAAGUACAUUUUAUUGUGUCACUUUUUUUGAGGGGUAGCUUUAUUAAUCAAACACCACAAAGUGUGCAAUAGAGGUCAUCAAACCAAGCUUUAUUGUGUCA